AGAGUUUGAUCCUGGCUCAGGAUGAACGCUAGCGGCAAGCCUAACACAUGCAAGUCGAACGGUAACUUUUGGUGCUUGCACCGAAAGACGAGUGGCGAACGGGUGCGUAACGCGUAUGCAAUCUGCCUUUUACUAGGGUAUAGCCCAGAGAAAUUUGGAUUAAUCCCCUAUAAUAUCAUUUAAUCGCAUGAUUUUAUGAUUAAAGCUUCGGCGGUAAAAGAUGAGCAUGCGUCCUAUUAGUUAGUAGGUGAGGUAACGGCUCACCUAGACUCCGAUAGGUAGGGGUCCUGAGAGGGAGAUCCCCCACACUGGUACUGAGACACGGACCAGACUCCUACGGGAGGCAGCAGUGAGGAAUAUUGGACAAUGGACGAAAGUCUGAUCCAGCUAUGCCGCGUGCAGGAUGACGGCCCUAUGGGUUGUAAACUGCUUUUAUACAGGAAGAAAAACUCCGACGUGUCGGAACUUGACGGUACUGUAAGAAUAAGGAUCGGCUAACUCCGUGCCAGCAGCCGCGGUAAUACGGAGGAUCCAAGCGUUAUCCGGAAUCAUUGGGUUUAAAGGGUCCGUAGGCGGUUUUUUAAGUCAGAGGUGAAAUCCUGCAGCUCAACUGUAGAAUUGCCUUUGAUACUGAAAGACUUGAGUUAUUGUGAAGUGGUUAGAAUGUGUGGUGUAGCGGUGAAAUGCAUAGAUAUCACACAGAAUACCAAUUGCGAAGGCAGAUCACUAACAAUAUACUGACGCUCAGGGACGAAAGCGUGGGUAGCGAACAGGAUUAGAUACCCUGGUAGUCCACGCCGUAAACGAUGGAUACUAGCUGUAUGUCUACUUCAGGUAGAUGUGUGGCUAAGCGAAAGUGAUAAGUAUCCCACCUGGGGAGUACGAUCGCAAGAUUGAAACUCAAGGAAUUGACGG
rnacentral:rRNA from 1 species